UACGGAGGGUGCAAGCGUUGCUCGGAAUUAUUGGGCGUAAAGGGUAGGUAGGUGGUCUCAUUUGUCUGGGGUGAAAGCCUUGAGCUUAACUCAAGAAGUGCCCCAGAAACGGUGAGACUCGAGUACUGGAGAGGGUCGUGGAAUUCCCGGUGUAGCGGUGAAAUGCGUAGAGAUCGGGAGGAACACCGAUGGCGAAGGCAGCCUUCUGGGCCAACACUGACGCUCAUGCACGAAAGCGUGGGGAGCAAACAGG
rnacentral:rRNA from 1 species